UACAGGGGGUGCAAACGUUGCUCGGUAUCAUUGGGCGUAAAGCGCACGUAGGCGGUUCGUUAUGCCGGAUGUGAAAGCCCUUGGCUUAACCGAGGAAGUGCAUCCGAAACUGGCGAGCUAGAGUACGAAAGAGGAUCGCGGAAUUCCCGGUGUAGAGGUGAAAUUCGUAGAUAUCGGGAGGAACACCGGUGGCGAAGGCGGCGAUCUGGGUCGAUACUGACGCUGAGGUGCGAAAGCGUGGGGAGCAAACAGG
rnacentral:rRNA from 1 species